rnacentral:rRNA from 1 species
UACGUAGGGAGCAAGCGUUGUCCGGAAUCAUUGGGCGUAAAGAGCGCGUAGGCGGUCCGGUAAGUCGGUUGUGAAAACUGGGGGCUCAACCCUCAGAGGCCGACCGAUACUGCCGGGCUAGAGUCCGGAAGAGGCGAGUGGAAUUCCUGGUGUAGCGGUGAAAUGCGCAGAUAUCAGGAGGAACACCAGCGGCGAAGGCGGCGCUCUGGGCCGGUACUGACGCUGAGGAGCGAAAGCGUGGGGAGCGAACAGG